ensembl:Mt_tRNA
CAGAAGGUAGUUUAUUUAAAAAUACCAGCUUUGGGAGCUGGGGAUGGGGGUUUAAAUCCCCUCUUUCUGA